rnacentral:lncRNA from 1 species
UAGGUAUUAGCUGAUGAUAUGCAAAGGGUCUUGUUCUCCUGCUGUAUACUACGAAUGACUUUCAAAGAAAACCCUGGAAGUGCUAACACUGUAUGGUGACAGAACAAGGUUUGAAGGAAAAGAGGAAGAAGUUGGAUAUCCUGACAGUUCCGCAGUCCACCAACAAUUUAGAUUGACUCCCUGAUGGUUAAGUUUCUUCAUCAUUCACAUCAACUUUGAGCCUGAAGCAGAGAUUCUAGUGAUGUAGAUGCCAGUCUUUCCAUGCCCAAAGACAGGGAGAUAUUAUACAAGUUACAAUAUUUAUCCUCAAGAUGUAGUCAUGAUAACAAUCAAACUGUAGAGAUAAGAUUUUACUUAUGCUUCUACCUUACAGACAUAACAGCUGAUCUAUGCCUAGCUGAUCUCGCUCACCA